rnacentral:rRNA from 1 species
AUAUACGACCGUACCGCAAACCGACACUGGUGCGCGAGAUGAGUAUUCUAAGGCGCUUGAGAGAACUCAGGAGAAGGAACUCGGCAAAUUGACACCGUAACUUCGGAAGAAGGUGUGCCCUAUUAGUGUGUAGUGAACAACGAAGGAUGAAUGGGUUGCAAAAAAUCGGUGGCUGCGACUGUUUAUUAAAAACACAGCACUCUGCAAACACGAAAGUGGACGUAUAGGGUGUGACGCCUGCCCGGUGCUGGAAGAUUAAAUGAUGGGGUGCAAGCUCUUGAUUGAAGUCCCAGUAAACGGCGGCCGUAACUAUAACGGUCCUAAGGUAGCGAAAUUCCUUGUCGGGUAAGUUCCGACCUGCACGAAUGGCGUAACGAUGGCCACACUGUCUCCUCCUGAGACUCAGCGAAGUUGAAAUGUUUGUGAUGAUGCAAUCUCCCCGCGGAAAGACGGAAAGACCCCAUGAACCUUUACUGUAGCUUUGUAUUGGACUUUGAACAGAUCUGUGUAGGAUAGGUGGGAGGCUUUGAAGCAGGGUCGCUAGAUCUUGUGGAGCCAACGUUGAAAUACCACCCUGGUGUGUUUGAGGUUCUAACCUAGGUCCAUUAUCUGGAUCGGGGACAGUGCAUGGUAGGCAGUUUGACUGGGGCGGUCUCCUCCCAAAGCGUAACGGAGGAGUUCGAAGGUACGCUAGUUACGGUCGGACAUCGUGACGAUAGUGCAAUGGCAUAAGCGUGCUUAACUGCGAGACUGACAAGUCGAGCAGACGCGAAAGCAGGACAUAGUGAUCCGGUGGUUCUGUAUGGAAGGGCCAUCGCUCAACGGAUAAAAGGUACUCUGGGGAUAACAGGCUGAUACCGCCCAGGAGUUCAUAUCGACGGCGGUGUUUGGCACCUCGAUGUCGGCUCAUCUCAUCCUGGGGCUGUAGCCAGUCCCAAGGGUAUGGCUGUUCGCCAUUUAAAGAGGUACGUGAGCUGGGUUUAAAACGUCGUGAGACAGUUUGGUCCCUAUCUUCCGUGGGCGCUGCAGAUUUGAGGAAGCCUGCUCCUAGUACGAGAGGACCGGAGUGGACACACCUCUGGUGUAUCGGUUGUCACGCCAGUGGCAUUGCCGAGUAGCUAAGUGUGGAAGAGAUAACCGCUGAAAGCAUCUAAGCGGGAAACUCGUUUCAAGAUGAGAUCUGCCGGGGCCUUGAGCCCCCUAAAGAGUCGCUCAAGACCAGGACGUUGAUAGGUCAGGUGUGGAAGUG